rnacentral:snRNA from 1 species
AGGGACUGUUUUUUUUUUUUUUGCCUAAAAUUUGAACGAUUCAGAAAGGAUACCGGGCGUAAGGUUGACUCGCAAAAUCGUGAAGCGUUCCACAUUUUU